GUUCACGAGUGCGCGCAAGCGGACAGCGCUAGCUAACUAGGUGGAGCGGAGGCUUCACGCUAGACCACCACGCGCGCGCGCCCUUUUUUUUUUUUUCUCCUUCGAUCUACUGGUAAUCACCAUCCCCAGAGGCCAGAGCAGCAACAGCGUUUUCCGUGUGGUUGCAAUUUGCAAAGCACCAACAGCGCGCAGCAGCACCACGGGCCACGGGGGUCCAAGUUGCCUGCGCAGGGCUCGUGGCCGGCUAUGCGUGAGGAUGAUGGAAGCUCUUUGUGAUGAUGAAUGCAUGAACUAGCUAGAGCGGACGACGUCUAGCUUUCAGCUUUCGCGGGUAUGUGCUAUACUCUUGUGUGACGAGCAGCUGGGGUAUGCUAAUCAGUGAGUGGCCCCGAGCCCGGAGAAUGAUACAAAUAUUUUUUGACUGUAUUUGAGACCGAAUUUGUUUAGAGAGAUUCAGAUUUAUCCGUAUCCGAGUCCAAAUAUUCAACAUCCGAUAUCGUAUCCAUAUCCGAAUACUUAAAUCUCAUAUUAUGAUGUCAACAGCCAAUCGUAUCUUAUUUGACAUAAUUGACAUUAUUCGUAUUCGAAUACGACCAGAAAUAUGAAAACAAAUAUAAUAUCGGUGAUAUCCAUCCGUAUCCGAUCUGUUUUUAUCUCUAGCUGAAAGUAUUAUUCACUGAUUUUUUAUAAAAGAAGAACACUGCUAUAAACAGGCUCAAUAUGGACUUAUGGAGUGCUAUAGUGAGAAAGGCUGUGACGACCAAACCACGG
rnacentral:lncRNA from 1 species